UACGUAGGGGGCUAGCGUUGUCCGGAAUUACUGGGCGUAAAGCGUGCGCAGGCGGCUUUGCAAGUCAGAUGUGAAAUCCCCGGGCUCAACCUGGGAACUGCAUUUGUGACUGCAAGGCUAGAGUACGGUAGAGGGGGAUGGAAUUCCGCGUGUAGCAGUGAAAUGCGUAGAUAUGCAGAGGAACACCGAUGGCGAAGGCAAUCCCCUGGACCUGUACUGACGCUCAGGCACGAAAGCGUGGGGAGCAAACAGG
rnacentral:rRNA from 1 species